GAUGAACGCUGGCGGCGUGCCUAAUACAUGCAAGUCGAGCGAACGGACGAGAAGCUUGCUUCUCUGAUGUUAGCGGCGGACGGGUGAGUAACACGUGGAUAACCUACCUAUAAGACUGGGAUAACUUCGGGAAACCGGAGCUAAUACCGGAUAAUAUUUUGAACCGCAUGGUUCAAAAGUAAAAGACGGUCUUGCUGUCACUUAUAGAUGGAUCCGCGCUGCAUUAGCUAGUUGGUAAGGUAACGGCUUACCAAGGCAACGAUGCAUAGCCGACCUGAGAGGGUGAUCGGCCACACUGGAACUGAGACACGGUCCAGACUCCUACGGGAGGCAGCAGUAGGGAAUCUUCCGCAAUGGGCGAAAGCCUGACGGAGCAACGCCGCGUGAGUGAUGAAGGUCUUCGGAUCGUAAAACUCUGUUAUUAGGGAAGAACAUAUGUGUAAGUAACUGUGCACAUCUUGACGGUACCUAAUCAGAAAGCCACGGCUAACUACGUGCCAGCAGCCGCGGUAAUACGUAGGUGGCAAGCGUUAUCCGGAAUUAUUGGGCGUAAAGCGCGCGUAGGCGGUUUUUUAAGUCUGAUGUGAAAGCCCACGGCUCAACCGUGGAGGGUCAUUGGAAACUGGAAAACUUGAGUGCAGAAGAGGAAAGUGGAAUUCCAUGUGUAGCGGUGAAAUGCGCAGAGAUAUGGAGGAACACCAGUGGCGAAGGCGACUUUCUGGUCUGUAACUGACGCUGAUGUGCGAAAGCGUGGGGAUCAAACAGGAUUAGAUACCCUGGUAGUCCACGCCGUAAACGAUGAGUGCUAAGUGUUAGGGGGUUUCCGCCCCUUAGUGCUGCAGCUAACGCAUUAAGCACUCCGCCUGGGGAGUACGACCGCAAGGUUGAAACUCAAAGGAAUUGACGGGGACCCGCACAAGCGGUGGAGCAUGUGGUCUAAUUCGAAGCAACGCGAAGAACCUUACCAAAUCUUGACAUCCUUUGACAACUCUAGAGAUAGAGCCUUCCCCUUCGGGGGACAAAGUGACAGGUGGUGCAUGGUUGUCGUCAGCUCGUGUCGUGAGAUGUUGGGUUAAGUCCCGCAACGAGCGCAACCCUUAAGCUUAGUUGCCAUCAUUAAGUUGGGCACUCUAAGUUGACUGCCGGUGACAAACCGGAGGAAGGUGGGGAUGACGUCAAAUCAUCAUGCCCCUUAUGAUUUGGGCUACACACGUGCUACAAUGGACAAUACAAAGGGCAGCGAAACCGCGAGGUCAAGCAAAUCCCAUAAAGUUGUUCUCAGUUCGGAUUGUAGUCUGCAACUCGACUACAUGAAGCUGGAAUCGCUAGUAAUCGUAGAUCAGCAUGCUACGGUGAAUACGUUCCCGGGUCU
rnacentral:rRNA from 1 species